rnacentral:rRNA from 1 species
AAAUUUGAAAUCCGGCUCCCCCCCGGGGGGCCCGAGUUGUAAUUUGCAGAGGAUGCUUCUGGCGCGGCGCCUUCCGAGUUCCCUGGAACGGGACGCCACAGAGGGUGAGAGCCCCGUCUGGUCGGACGCCCAGCCUGCGUGAAGCUCCUUCGACGAGUCGAGUAGUUUGGGAAUGCUGCUCAAAACGGGAGGUAUAUGUCUUCUAAAGCUAAAUACCGGCCAGAGACCGAUAGCGCACAAGUAGAGUGAUCGAAAGAUGAAAAGCACUUUGAAAAGAGGGUUAAACAGUACGUGAAAUUGUUGAAAGGGAAGCGCUCGUGACCAGACUCGGGCACGGCGGAUCAGCCGGCGUUCCUCGCCGGCGCACUCCGCCGGGCCCGGGCCAGCAUCAGUUCGCCGCGGGGGACAAAGGCGGCGGGAACGUGGCUCCCCCGGGAGUGUUACAGCCCGCCGCGCAAUGCCCUGGGGCGGACUGAGGUUCGCGCUCCGCAAGGAUGCUGGCGUAAUGGUCACCAGCGACCCGUCUUGAAACACGGACCAAGGAGUCGUCUUCGUAUGCGAGUGUUCGGGUGUCAAACCCUUGCGCGUAAUGAAAGUGAACGCAGGUGAGAGCUUCGGCGCAUCAUCGACCGAUCCCGAUGUUCUCGGACGGAUUUGAGUAAGAGCAUACGGGGCCGGACCCGAAAGAAGGUGAACUAUGCCUGUGUAGGGUGAAGCCAGAGGAAACUCUGGUGGAGGCUCGCAGCGGUUCUGACGUGCAAAUCGAUCGUCA